CAGCUGAUACAGAGGUGUCAUUUGUGACAUCUUAAUUCCAACAGAGAAGUGCCAUCACAGGUCCAGUGAAUUGUGGAUGUAUCACAGCUGGCAGAACACCUGGAAUUCACAGUGAUCUUUCCAUCAUGAAAUACUAAGACGCUUGCCAAUCACUAAGAUGACCUAAGCCUCAUGUGUCUGCAGACCAGGCUCCUCGUUGUGCAAAGCUGCCUUGCAAGCCUCCGAUGCCCAUGUGCUCCUCCCUGUCUUGGUUCCUAUUGCUCCUGAUUAUGUGUUAGUCCUCACUGUGCAGUUCAAAUCAAGAAGAGGCACUAAAAAUGGAACUGCUAAAAACACAUUUCCAGAUUAAAUCUGUGAACACAUUAAAAAUAUUAUAAACUACUUGAAGGCCAGCAUUGGUUUGGGAUUGUGUUAAUAAUAGACAUUAGAAAAACCAUAUUUUUCUGCAUGUGACAACCUGUUUACAAAACAAACCCUUUUAAGUACUAAGUGAGAUAACAUGUGUGAACGUGUCCAGAUUUGUAUAUAUCUGAUACCUGCUAAGUGUUUGGUAAUUUUCUUCUUCUGUCUGUAUAAGAGAUCAUUCAAAUACCUUGAUCUU